AGAGCGAACGCUGGCGGCAGGCUUAACACAUGCAAGUCGAGCGGGCGUAGCAAUACGUCAGCGGCAGACGGGUGAGUAACGCGUGGGAACAUACCUUUUGGUUCGGAACAACCCAGGGAAACUUGGGCUAAAUACCGGAUAAGCCCUUACGGGGAAAGAUUUAUCGCCGAAAGAUUGGCCCGCGUCUGAUUAGCUAGUUGGUGAGGUAACGGCUCACCAAGGCGACGAUCAGUAGCUGGUCUGAGAGGAUGAUCAGCCACAUUGGGACUGAGACACGGCCCAAACUCCUACGGGAGGCAGCAGUGGGAAUAUUGGACAAUGGGCGCAAGCCUGAUCCAGCCAUGCCGCGUGAGUGAUGAAGGCCCUAGGGUUGUAAAGCUCUUUGUGCGGGAAGAUAAUGACGGUACCGCAAGAAUAAGCCCGGCUAACUUCGUGCCAGCAGCCGC
rnacentral:rRNA from 1 species